rnacentral:lncRNA from 1 species
CCAUUGGGACCCAUAGCUGCCCCAUAGCUGCCCCAUAGCUGCUCCAUAGGGUUCCAUUGAGAUCCAUUGAGAUCCAUUGGGACCCGCUGAGUUCCAUUGAGACCCAUAGGGACCCCUUAGAGACCCCAUAGGGACCCCUUAGAGAUCCCAUAGCUGCCCCAUAACUGCCCCAUAGCUGCCUUAUAGCUGCCCCAUAGGAUUCCAUUGAGAUCCAUUGAGACCCAUAGGAUUCCAUUGAGACCCAUUGAGUUCCAUUGGGACCCAUUGAGUUCCAUUGAGAUCCAUAGGGACCCCUUAGAGACCCCAUAGGGACCCCUUAGAGACCCCAUAGCUGCCCCAUAACUGCCCCAUAGCUGCCCCAUAGAGACCCCAUAGGGUUUCAUUGAGAUCCAUUGAGUUCCAUUGGGACCCAUUGAGUUCCAUUGAGUUCCAUUGAGACCCAUUGAGAUCUAUUGAGACCCAUAGGGACCCCUUAGAGACCCCUUAGCUGCCCCAUAACUGCCCCAUAACUGCCCUAUAGCUGCCCCAUAGAGACCCCAUAGGGUUCCAUUGAGAUCCAUUGAGUUCCAUUGAGAUCCAUUGAGUUACAUUGGGAUCCAUUGGGACCCAUAGCUGCCCCAUAGAGACCCCAUAGGGUUCCAUUGGGAUCCAUUGAGUUCCAUUGAGAUCCAUUGAGUUCCAUUGAGAUCCUUUAAGACCCAUAGGGACCCCUUAGAGACCCCAUAGGGACCCCUUAGAGACCCUAUAGCUGCCCCAUAGAGACCCCAUAGGGUUCCAUUGAGAUCCAUUGAGUUCCAUUGGGACCCAUUGAGUUCCAUUGAGAUCCAUUGAGUUCCAUUGAGAUCUAUUGAGACCCAUAGGGACCCCUUAGAGACCCCUUAGCUGCCCCAUAACUGCCCCAUAGCUGCCCUAUAGCUGCCCCAUAGCUGCCCCAUAGGGUUCCAUUGAGAUCCAUUGAGUUCCAUUGAGACCCAUUGAGUUACACUGGGACCCAUUGAGUUCCAUUGAGAUCCAUUGAGUUCCAUUGAGAUCUAUUGAGACCCAUAGGGACCCCUUAGAGAACCCAUUGCUGCCCCAUAGCGGACCCAUAGAGACCCCAUAGGGUUCCAUUGAGAUCCAUUGAGUUACAUUGGGAUCCAUUGAGUUCCAUUGAGAUCCAUUGGGACCCAUAGCUGCCCCAUAGAGACCCCAUAGGGUUCCAUUGAGAUCCAUUGAGUUACAUUGGGAUCCAUUGGCACCCAUAGCUGCCCCAUAGAGACCCCAUAGGGACCCAUUGAGUUCCACUGAGAUCCAUUGGGACCCAUAGCUG